ACCCACGACCAUUGCUCUCUCUCUCUCUCUCUCUCUCUCUCUCUCUCUCUCUCUCUCUCUCAUUUUCAAAUUUGAAUCGUCUCUCUCUUUGACGCUCUACGUCAAAUAUCGUCGAUCAACCUGUAGCCGGAUCAAAUGGCCGACGCCGACGAGCUUGACGAAAUCGUCCGCCGAAAGUUGGGGGCUUUGAUCUCAAGAGUUACCCAGGAAAUCGAAUUCCGUUGGGGCGACGAGUGCCUUCCACUGCCGAGAAUACUUCUUCAUGUUCUGGAUCCAGUGGAGGCCCUCAUUUCUUUUGAAUUGCAGAGAAUAAAAAACUCUCCGACUUGGGAAGCCGCGGAAAGAAAGCGGAAAAUCAGAAAUUUGAUGGCCAUGCGUUGAAUUUUGUUUCUUUUGUUUCUGACAUUUUUUCUUAAUUAGGGUUUUUUUUUUUUUUUUUUUUUUGGCAGGGCCCGAUGGACUUGGUUUCGACUGCUCUGCAGCUCAAAACGAGAUUGGAUACUCACUGGAAUUUGCAGCUUCCCUCUAUUGUCUCAAGUUGGUUUCGUCACACUGUGGUGAUAGGUGAAUGUAUGGGAAUGCCAGUUUCACCAUGCUAGAGUUAAUCAAUCUCAUAUUAAUUUGAACUUUGGAACUUCAUAUUGAUCUUGUUGGAAAUAUUUUGCAGCACUGGUGUUAGCUUUCAUGCUGUAUUCCAUAUACGAGCAGUAUGAAUCAGAAGUUGCGAAGCUUCUGUUCAAUAGUAUAAUGCUGGUUUUUGGAUUUUUUAGAACAAAUCUACCUGCUUCUGUGCAACUAUUUCUUGAAAAACAUGGAAUUUUGAUGCGUCACAUGUGACAAUUAGCAUCAGAAGUAGCUGCCACUACCACUUGGAUGGCAUUUGGGCAUAGUUUUUCUAAUUGGACAAAUUCAAUGUUCUGCUAGUUUAGGGUUGUAUGAAAAUAUAUGUUUCGUGAAAAAUCAACAAAAGAAUUACCACAUUACAAA